rnacentral:lncRNA from 1 species
AUGAUACCUGGGCUAAGGCGGCGAGGGGCGGCCAGGGCACACAUCCGACCCUGGCCCCUGCCCUGGCUCAGCCCCAGCCAAAAUGUUGUUGGUGUCCCUGAAGAGGUGACUUUUGAGGUGAGCCCUUGGGGAAUAAUAAGAGCAACAAGCACUGUUCCAAGUGCUUUCCACAGGACCCUCAUCGACCCCCUCUUGGGUUCAUCUUGUCCAGUCAGGGCCCUAAAUACUAUCCUGAGGCCAGUGACCCCCCUAAUACCUACCUCCAGCACAGACCACAGCCCCAAACUGCACACACACACCUGCAUCGCGUGCUGGCCUAGGUCUCCACCCACGCCAGCACUGAGCUCCAGGGGGUCUCCUGCCCUACCCCCAGGCCCCUCCCCAGAUGACAGCAGCUCCAGACUGCAGGCAAGUUCCAGCCCAAUCCCCGCUCAUCAGGACUGCCUGUCAGCUCUUCCUUCCUCGGAAGUGCAGAAUCCCACCCCUCGAACUCUCCACUGCCUCCUCCCCUCCAAGUCCCUGGCACCCUCGCCGUGCCUGCCCUCAGCCAGAGGCUCCUUCUGGAACACAGUGCAAGCUCAGAGCCCGCGAGGCCUCCACUGCCCGCAGGGCAAAGCCUACCUGCUCAGUCAGUGUGUCAAGGACUUACGUGUUACAGUAUUGGCUACUAUCUGCCCUCUCCCACACACGCACACACACGCAUCCACACGUGUGCACACACAUAGGCACUCAGGCGUGCUGCACAAAGGCAGUCGAUUCUGUGGGCUGAAUACCCCAAGCCCGUGGCACAGAGCCCAGCACACAGUAGGUGCUCAACAAAUGUUUGUCGGUUUCAGCAAGGCUUCCUGUUUCACGACCCAUCCCCAGUUCCGAUGCCCUCUGGCUCCUUGGACCCCGCCAGCUCUGGGACACUCACAGGGCUCUCACCCUCCAGCACCUGUGAGCCAGAUGAGCCUCCUCAGCGUACAUCCCACCCCGUUCCUCCCACUCCCAGCCCUUCUGGGGUUCCCCAGGGCCUUACUGGGACCUGUGAGAUACUCCGAGAUCUGGGCCUCACAGCCCCUCUCCAGACUCAGCUUUUGCACCCUCGCCCCACUGCACACCUCAGCCCCCGCCCCAUCAAGGGUUCUCGGUUUUUAA